AACGCACAUUGCGCCCCUUGGUAUUCCGAGGGGCAUGCCUGUUCGAGCGUCAUUAUAACCACUCAAGCCUCGGCUUGGUCUUGGGGUUCGCGGUCUCACGGCUCUUAAAAUCAGUGGCAGUGCCGUCUGGCUCUAAGCGUAGUAAUUCUCUCGCUAUAGAGUUCCGGCGGUUACUUGCCAAAACCCCUAAUUUUUUUAACGGUUGACCUCGGAUCAGGUAGGGAUACCCGCUGAACUUAA
rnacentral:misc_RNA from 1 species